rnacentral:rRNA from 1 species
UACGUAGGGGGCAAGCGUUGUUCGGAAUUACUGGGCGUAAAGGGCGCGUAGGCGGCACGACAAGUCGGGAGUGAAAGCCCGGGGCUCAACCCCGGAGGGUCUCUCGAAACUGUCGAGCUAGAGUGCGGAAGAGGCAAUCGGAAUUCCCAGUGUAGCGGUGAAAUGCGUAGAUAUUGGGAAGAACACCGGAGGCGAAGGCAGCUCGCUGGGACGGUACUGACGCUGAGGCGCGAAAGCGUGGGGAGCGAACAGG